AUGCCGGAGAUUCUGAACAUCUUCCGGGCCUCCCCAGGCACCCCCGCCUUCUGGCUGCCUCUCUCUGCUCAGGGCCAAGGUUCUGUCUUCACAGCCUCCAUACAGAGCCCCUUUGUCUUCCCCUUGAUCCCCUGCUGCAAACACAUUGCCUCCGAUGCCACCUCCGUGACCUUAGGCUGCCUGGCCACGGGCUACUUCCCGGAGCCGGUGAUGGUGACCUGGGACGCAGGCUCCCUCAACAGGAGCACUAUGACCUUACCAGCCACCACCUUCACGCCCUCCGGUCACUAUGCCACCAUCAGCUUGCUGACCGUCUCGGGUGCGUGGGCCAAGGAGACGUUCACCUGCCAUGUGGUGCACACUCCAUCGUCUGCAGACAAAGAGGUCAACAAAACCUUUGGCGUCUGCUCCAGGAACUUCACCCCACCCACCGUGAAGAUCUUACAGUCAUCCUGCGAUGACGACGGGCACUUUCCCCCGACCAUCCAGCUCCUGUGCCUCAUCUCCGGGUACACCCCAGGGGCCAUCAACGUCACCUGGCUGGAGAACGGGCAGGUCAUGGAAGUGAACUCGCCCACCCCUCCUGCCACGCAGGAGGGUGAGCUGGCCUCCACACAAAGUGAGUUCACCCUCCCCCAGAAGCACUGGCUGUCGGACCGCACUUACACCUGCCAGGUCACCUAUCAAGGUGGUACCUAUGAGGACAGCACCAAGAAGUGUGCAGAUUCCAACCCGAGAGGGGUGAGUGCCUACCUAAGCCGGCCCAGCCCGUUUGACCUGUUCAUCAGCAAGUCGCCCACAAUCACCUGUCUGGUGGUGGACCUGGCACCCAGCAAGGAGACCGUGAACCUGACCUGGUCCCGGGCCAGUGGGAAGCCUGUGCCCCAGGUCCGCCCAAAGCGGGAGAGGCAGCGCAAUGGCACGUUAACCGUUACGUCCAUCCUGCCGGUGGUCACCCAAGACUGGAUCGAGGGGGAGACCUACCAGUGCAGGGUGACCCACCCCCACCUCCCCAGGGCCCUCGUGCGGUCCAUGACCAAGACCAGCGGCCCGCGUGCUGCCCCGGAAGUCUAUGUGUUUGCAACGCCAGAGAAGCUAGAGAGCCGGGACAAGCGCACCCUCGCCUGCCUGAUCCAGAACUUCAUGCCUGAGGACAUAUCGGUGCAGUGGCUGCACAGCGACGUGCAGCUCCCGGACGCCCGGCACAGCGUGACGCAGCCCCGCAAGACCAAGGGCUCCGGCUUCUUCGUCUUCAGCCGCCUGGAGGUGACCAAGGCCGAAUGGGAGCAGAAAGACGAGUUCAUCUGCCGUGCAGUCCAUGAGGCAGCGAGCCCCUCAUGGAUCGUCCAGCAAGCGGUGUCUGUAAAUCUCGGUAAAUGAUGCACUCCUGCCUCCCUCCCUCUCAGGGCUCCAUCCAGCUGUGCAGUGGGGAGGGCUGGCCAGACCUUCUGUCCACUGUUGCAACCACCCCAGGAAGCCACCCGCAAUAAACCGUGCCUGCUCAGAG